GAUGAAGAACGUAGCGAAAUGCGAUAAGUAAUGUGAAUUGCAGAAUUCAGUGAAUCAUCGAAUCUUUGAACGCACCUUGCACCCUUUGGCAUUCCGAAGGGUAUGCUCGUUUGAGUGUCAUUGUACUCUCACUCUCCCGAUGCUUUUGGAUCGGGAGUGGUGGACUUGGGUGUUGCUGCUUUGCUGUGGCUCGCCUCAAAUGGAGUAGUGCAACUCUUGGUUGGACAUAGUACGGCGUGAUAAGUGUCUUCGCCGGCGCCUCAUUAUAGAGGGUGGCCGAUCGGGAGCUCUGUGCUUCAAACCGUCUUCGGACAACAUCUGACAACUUGACCUCAAAUCGAGUAGGACUACCCGCUGAACUUAAGCAUAUCAAUAAGCGAGGA
rnacentral:misc_RNA from 1 species